rnacentral:rRNA from 1 species
UCCAGACUCCCACGGGAGGCAGCAGUGGGGAAUAUUGCACAAUGGGGGAAACCCUGAUGCAGCGACGCCGCGUGAGUGAAGAAGUAUUUCGGUAUGUAAAGCUCUAUCAGCAGGAACGAGACAAGACGGUACCUGACUAAGAAGCCCCGGCUAACUACGUGCCAGCAGCCGCGGUAAUACGUAGGGGGCAAGCGUUAUCCGGAAUCACUGGGUGUAAAGGGAGCGUAGACGGCUGAGCAAGCCUGAAGUGAAAGGCGGGGGCCCAACCCCCGGACUGCUUUGGAAACUGUAUAGCUGGAGUGCAGGAGAGGUAAGUGGAAUUCCUAGUGUAGCGGUGAAAUGCGUAGAUAUUAGGAGGAACACCAGUGGCGAAGGCGGCUUACUGGACUGUAACUGACGUUGAGGCUCGAAAGCGUGGGGAGCAAACAGGAUUAGAUACCCUCGUA